rnacentral:rRNA from 1 species
CCUACGGGAGGCAGCAGUGGGGAAUAUUGCACAAUGGGCGAAAGCCUGAUGCAGCAACGCCGCGUGAGUGAUGAAGGCUUUCGAGUCGUAAAGCUCUUUGAUCAGGGAUGAUAAUGACAGUACCUGAAAAACAAGCCACGGCUAACUACGUGCCAGCAGCCGCGGUAAUACGUAGGUGGCGAGCGUUGUCCGGAAUUACUGGGCGUAAAGGAUGCGUAGGUGGAUAUUUAAGUGGGAUGUGAAAUCCCCGGGCUCAACCCGGGAACUGCAUUCCAAACUGGAUGUCUAGAGUGCAGGAGAGGAAAGCGGAAUUCCUAGUGUAGCGGUGAAAUGCGUAGAUAUUAGGAGGAACACCAGUGGCGAAGGCGGCUUUCUGGACUGUAACUGACACUGAGGCAUGAAAGCGUGGGUAGCAAACAGGAUUAGAUACCCUGGUAGUCCACGCCGUAAACGAUGGGUACUAGGUGUAGGAGGUAUCGACCCCUUCUGUGCCGUNGUUAAC